AGAGCUCGGAGGCUGCUGGUAGGGGGGCACCACUUUCAGAUAAAAACAUAGACCUGAAUGGCAUCAUCCAGUAUCCAAGGAAACCAUGUUCUCUAAACAUGAAUAUGCCUUUGGGGGAAGACAGAAGAACAUGGAAGCCAUGUGAAAAAAACGGAUCCUAAGGCUUUUUACCUGUCUGUUGAACUGAGUGAAGGACCCAGAGGCCCUAUGAUGUGGUGUAGCUUCGAGAGAAGGAAGCCUAGAUCCCUGAAUCAUUGUGCAGAACAUACUUAUCCUACAGCCAUAUAGGACUGUUAUAUGAGUAAGCGCUGAAGUUAUUUCUUAGGUUAUUGAACUUUCCAAGCAUAUCUAUUACAUUAAUUAGUGUUACCUCAAUAAAAGCAUGUACUUCACAGAA
rnacentral:lncRNA from 1 species